UAAAGUUUAAUGGAGCAAAUUAGGAAAGGCCAGAGGUUGAUACUCUUCCCCUUACCCUUUCAAGGCCAUAUAAACCCUAUGCUUGAGCUAGCUAAUGUUCUACACUUCAGGGGCUUCUCCAUAACCAUCAUUCACACCAACUUCAACUCUCUCAACCCUUCAACCCAUCCUCACUUCACCUUCCACUCGAUCCCUGAUGGCCUAUCCGAAACUGAGACCUCCACAAAAGAUCCCGUCCUACUUAUUUCUUGUCUAAAUGCACACUGUUGUGAUCCUUUCCGGAACUGCCUGGCUAACUUGUUAUCUGAUGAUGGUUCAGAGGAGCCUAUUGCUUGUUUAAUCACUGACGCUCUCUUUUAUUUCACUAAAUCUGUUGCUAAGAGCCUCAAGCUUCCAAGGAUGCUGCUAAGAACAGGAAGUGCCACAUCGACUAUUGUUUAUGCCGUAUUUCCACUUCUAUGGGAAAAGGGUUACCUCCCAAAACAAGGUUAGUUUCUCUGAAAACACCUAGUUGCCUACUAAUGCCUCAGGUUUAUAUUCCUAAAUCCUCUACUAAUUAGGUCAUGUAUUUUCCAACUAUGCUCAAACUUAGACUGCUAUCUUUUUACUGUUUUGUUAGAAUCUCAACUAGAAGAGCCAGUGGUAGACCUGUCACCACUCAAAGUGAAAGACCUUCCAAUGAUGAACUCUUGUGACCCACAGGGAUAUUAUCAACUACUGAUUCAAAUGGUAAAGGAAAUCAAAACCGCAGAUGGAAUUAUUUUCAAUACUUUUGAAGAUCUUGAAGAACAAGCACUGGCUACAUUUCGACAAGAAUUUCCCAUCCCAGUUUUUCCAAUAGGUCCAUUUCACAAAUGGUUCUCAACCUCCUAUUCAAGUAGCUUAUUAUCAGAGGAUGAAAGUUGCAUUUCGUGGCUAAAUACUCAAGCACCAAAGUCUGUUGUCUAUGUUAGCUUUGGGAGCACUGCUGCAGUAAAUGAAGCUCAAUUUUUGGAAAUAGCUUGGGGAUUAGCCAACACCAAUCAGGCGUUCUUGUGGGUGGUUCGACCUGGAUUAAUCCAAGGCUCUGAAUGGCUAGAAAAAUUACCUCAAGGGUACCUGGAGGCUUUAGAUGGGAAGGGUCACAUUGUGAAAUGGGCACCACAGAAAAAGGUGCUGGCUCAUCCAGCUGUGGGACUAUUCUGGACUCACAAUGGGUGGAAUUCAACAUUGGAGAGUAUUUCUGAGGGGGUGCCUAUGGUUUGUAUGCCACAUUUCGCCGAUCAAAUGGUAAAUGCAAGAUAUGUAAGUGAUGUUUGGAGAGUAGGGUUGCAGUUAGAGAAUGGGAUCAAGAGAGACGAAAUUGAAAAAACAAUUCAAAAACUGAUGGCAGAGAAAGAAGGGGAAGAGAUCAAAGACGAAAUGUCAAUGCUUAAGGAGAAGACAAAUCUUUCACUCAGAGAAGGUGGCUCUUCAUACCAAUCCUUGGAUGGCUUGGUUAACCAUAUUCUAUCAUUAUAGUCACUGGACGUUGAUCAAAAUGUAUCAUAUUUUCAUCACUAUCAAGUCCCUGAUUGAUCAAAAUGUGUCUGUACUCUGUAGCAUAUCAUCUAUAGGCCAAACAGAAAAAACAGUACAUCAGACUGAGUUUAGAUCACGCAAGUAUUUAUCUGUAGUUCUAUCAAGUUUAGAUCUACGCAAGUAUUUAUAAAAAGACUCCGUUCCUUGUAUUCAGUAUUAUUGGUUUUGUACAAUUCCAGAACAGAACUAAAAGGCUCUUCUCUCUCUUUAUUCGUUUUUCUCUCAUAAUUAUAUAGCCUUUCACUCUUAUGCACUAUAUAUAUAUAUGAUCAAUUUCAGUUUACAUCCCUGAGGUUUAGGGUUAACAUUAUUUCACUCCUCAUAUUUAUAAUUUAAAAAAUUUACCACCUGAAAUUUUCAAUUUUUAUAAAUCAUGCCCAAUUGUUGAAAUUCUGUUUAAUUCAGACGUUAAUUUUGACUUCAUAACUCAUUAAAAAGGCUAAUAUAGUCUUAUAAUAACAUAAAUCUCCUCUUAGAAUUUUUUUUCUACUAUCUCAUGCUAUCAUUUAAUCACUUAACCUUCAAAUUGGACGAAAUUUUAGGAAUUAUGUAUGAUUUAUGAAAAUUGAAGACUUUAAGGGGUAAAUUUUUAAAAUUAAAAAUAUGGAGAGUGAAACGAUGUUAACCCUAAACCUCGGAGAGUAAAUUGAAAUUAAUCCUAAUAUAUACUCCACAUAAUUACAUAUUUCAGAAAAUUUUAUAUGAAAGUGAAAUGUGUAUUUUAAUCUAAUAAUGGGUUCAUUAUUAGAAGAUAAUCAACAGAAACAAUAAGAAUAAUACAGUCAUGAGUCAUUUCAGUGUCUAUUUCAGUGUCUAUGUUUUAUUCAAUGCACCUGCAAAUUAAGGGUCUACAUCUAGCAAACAAGUGGCAAAUAAAUUAAGACUAUGAGAGCUUGUAGUCAAAAAAAGGAUUAUGAUCCUCUCUUUGGCUGGCAGUUGUCUUUGGUUAUCCUUAACUUUGAAUCUCAUUCGUCCAUUUAAAAUCCUAAGGUUUAAAACCAUGACAGCUCAGCAAGUUCCCACUAAAACUCAUUAAAUGAGACAUUUUAAUUACAAACGUCGUUUCUAUGUCGACGGAGACGUUAAAAUGAUUGAGUUCUCUUUCUCUUCCUUUACUUCUCCGCCUUCAGCCGUCUUCUAGUUCUUACUCACCUUCUUGUCAUCUCUUCCUUUGUUCCUGGGGGAUAUUUAUUUUCAAAUCAGGAUUCGCACUAAAGCUCAAAUCGGAAAAGACCCACCAAGAAUUGUAAUCCAAUUUGGGAUGCAGUUGAAAGGUUUUGUUGAUAACCGUAGGUGUAAACCAGAAAUAACAAGAACAGCAGCUGAAAAGCCCGACCAAGAUUUGUUGAUUCAUUCCUUUCGAUUGGGUUUUAAAUUUGGUUUUUUUUUUUAUUUCGAAUGGGCGGCGCUGAAAGUGGCGACCUGGGUCGCGGCUUCUCUGUUUUCAACCCGGUCGGAUGAACUGUUGCCGACGAGGUCGUUGGAAGUGGGUUUGUGGUUGAUUCGGACUUGGAGUUGGUUUCGCUGAAGCUUUUGAUGACAACUUUGCUUCGGGAGCGGCGGCGGGCCGGCCACCAGAGACGGGAGCAGAGGCGGAGCAGGCGGGGAAAAUGGCUUUGGGUCAGAAAUUUGUUUUGGGUUGUGGGUUUGUUGGAGAAGGAGAAAAAAGAUGGAGUCUUUGAAAAUGAAGAAGACUCUGAGGAGUUGGGUUUGGCAUGAAUUUGUUGAAGGAAAUUGCAGGUGCUGGGUUUCUUGCACUCAGAUGAAUGUUGGGGGAGACGUUAAACUGUUGAAGGAGAGAUGAAAUAGAUAGAGAUGUAACAGCGUUAAGCAUUGAUAUAUGUGGAGUAUUAAAAGUACUGUAUUUAUUAUAGAGUUUGCUGAUGUGGGGUUUUAUUAGCCUUUAGAUUUUUCAUCAACGGUUGAUAAUAAAAGCUAAGGAUAAACAAAGGCACCUACCAACCAAUGAGAGGAUCCUAAUCCAAAAUAGAAAGAAAAGAAAUUAAGACAAUGAGAGACGUAACAAAUUAAACUUCAAACAUACAAUUUUGUGGAUCAAAACUGAUGACUAUCAGUGACCAGUCCAUCAAUAGAGAGAGAGAGAGUUGAUUAGAUGGUCAUUGACGGUGAUAACCAGCAAAACUGGAUCCACAAAAUUGUCAAUAGGUUAUAGCGCUAUGUUCAUUAAUAUAUAGAUAUGUAAAGAAAGAAUCAAAGAAACAACACUGGAACAAUUUAGACAUCAGGAGUAGGGAGCAAAGGGGACUCAAACCAGAGCCAAACAAUUUAGACUCCAUUUCGCUCUAAAGUUUAAUGGAGCAAAUUAGGAAAGGCAAGAGGUUGAUACUCUUCCCAUUACCCCUUCAAGGCCGUAUAAACCCUAUGCUUGAGCUAGCUAAUGUUCUACACUUCAGAGGCUUCUCCAUAACCAUCCUCCACACCAACUUCAACUCUCUCAACCCUUCAAACCAUCCUCACUUUACCUUCCACUCGAUCCCUGAUGGCCUAUCCGAAACUGAGACCUCCACAAAAAGUCACAUGCUCCUUGUUUCUUGUCUAAACGCAAACUGUCAUGAUCCUUUCCGAAACUGCCUAGCUAACUUGUUAUCCGAUGAUGGUUCAGAGGAGCCUAUUGCUUGCUUAAUCACUGACCCUCUCUUUGACUUCACUCGAUCUGUCGCUAAGAGCCUUAAGCUUCCAAGGAUGCUGCUAAGAACAGGAAGUGCCACAUCGACUACUGUUUUUGCCGCAUUUCCACUUCUAUGGGAAAAGGGUUACCUCCCCAAACAAGGUAAGUUCUUCUGAAAACACCUAGUUGCCUGGUGGCUAAGAUUUAUAAGCCUAGGUGUUUACUGCUUGAUGGGUCAUGUAUUUUUCAAUUAUCCUCAUACUUAGACAUCUAUGGUUUCACUGCUUUGUUAGAAUCUCAACUAGAAGAGCCAGUAGUAGAGUUGCCACCACUCAAAGUCAAGGACCUUCCAAUGAAUUCUGGUGACCCAAAGAUAUUUUAUCAACUAGUAACUGAACUGGCAAAUGAGGUCAAGACUUCAGAUGGAGUUAUUUUCAAUACUUCUGAAGAUCUUGAAGAACAAGAAUCCGACAAGACUUUCCCAUCCCAAUUUUCCCAAUAGGUCCAUUUCACAAAUGGUUCCCAACCUCCUAUUCAAGUAGCUUAUUAUCAGAGGAUGAAAGUUGCAUUUCGUGGCUAAAUACUCAAGCACCAAAGUCUGUUGUCUAUGUUAGCUUUGGGAGCACUGCUGCAGUAAAUGAAGCUCAAUUUUUGGAAAUAGCUUGGGGAUUAGCCAACACCAAUCAGCCUUUCUUGUGGGUGGUUCGACCUGGAUUACUCCAACGCUCUGAAUGGCUAGAAAAAUUACCUCAAGGGUACCUGGAGGCUUUAGAUGGGAAGGGUCACAUUGUGAAAUGGGCACCACAGAAAAAGGUGCUGGCUCAUCCAGCUGUGGGACUAUUCUGGACUCACAAUGGGUGGAAUUCAACAUUGGAGAGUAUUUCUGAGGGGGUGCCUAUGGUCUGUAUGCCAAUUUUUGCCGAUCAAAUGUUAAAUGCAAGAUAUGUCAGUGAUGUUUGGAGAGUAGGGUUGCAGUUAGAGAAUGGGAUCAAGAGAGACGAAAUUGAAAAAACAAUUCGAAAACUGAUGACAGAGAAAGAAGGGGAAGAGAUCAAAGACAAAAUGUCAAAGCUUAAGGAGAAGACAAAUCUUUCACUCAGAGAAGGUGGCUCUUCAUACCAAUCCUUGGAUGGCUUGGUUAACCAUAUUCUAUCAUUAUAGUCACUGGACGUUGAUCAAAAUGUAUCAUAUUUUCAUCACUAUCAAGUCACUGAUUGAUCAAAAUGUGUCUGUACUCUGUAGCAUAUCAUCUAUAGGCCAAACAGACAAAUCAGUACAUCAGACUGAGUUUAGAUCACGCAAGUAUUUAUAUGUAGUUCUAUCAAGUUUAGAUCUACGCAAGUAUUUAUAAGAAGACUCCGUUCCUUGUAUUCAGUAUUAUUGGUUUUGUACAAUUCCAGAACAGAACUAGAAGGCUCUUCUCUCAUAAUUAUACAGGCUUUCACUCUUAUGCACUACUUAUAAUAUAUAGGAUUAAUUUCAGUUUACACCCCUGAGGUUUAGGGUUAACAUCAUUUCACUUCUCAUACUUAUAAUUUUGAAAAUUUACACCCUAAAGUUUUCAAUUUUCAUAAAUCAUGUCCAAUUGCUGAAAUUUUGUCUAAUUCAGACUUUAAUUUUGACUUCAUAACUCACUAAAAAGGCUAAAAUAGUCUUAUAACAACAUAAAUCGCUUUUUAGGACUUUUUUCCUACGAUUUCAUGCUAUCAUUUAACCUCCAAAUUGGACGAAAUUUUAGCAAUUGUGUUUUGACUUUAUGUAAAAAUUGGAGACUUUAAGGGGUAAAUUUUUAAAAUUAAAAGUAUGAGGAGUGAAACGAUGUUUAACCCUAAAUUUUGAAAAUUUACACCCUAAAGUUUUCAAUUUUCAUAAAUCAUGCCCAAUUGCUGAAUUUCUGUCUAAUUCAGACGUUAAUUUUGAUUUCAUAACUCACUAAAAAGGCUAAAAUAGUCUUAUAACAACAUAAAUCGCUUUUUAUUAUUUUUUUCCUACGAUCUCAUGCUAUCAUUUAACUUCCAAAUUGGACGAAAUUUUAGCAAUUGUGUCUGAUUUAUGAAAAUUGGAGACUUUAGGGGUAAAUUUUUACAAUUAAAAAUACGGGGAGUGAAACGAUGUUAACUUUAAACCUCAGGGGGUAAAUUGAAAUUAAUCCUAAUAUAUACUCCACAUAAUUACAUAUUUCAGAAAAUUUUAUAUGAAAGUGAAAUGUGUAUUUUAAUCUAAAAUGGGUUCAUUAUUAGAAGAUAAUCAACAGAAACAGUAAGAAUAAUACAGUCAUGAGUCAUUUCAGUGUCUAUGUUUUAUUCAAUGCACCUGCAAAUUAAGGGUCUACAUCUAGCAAACAAGUGGCAAAUAAAUUAAGACUAUGAGAGCUUGUAGUCAAAAAAAGAAAUAAAAGAAAUUAAGACUACGAGAGACGUGACAAAUUAAAGUUCAAACAUACAAUGUUGUCAAUAGGUUAUAGUGCUAUGUUCAUUAAUAUAUAGAUAUGUAAAGAAAGAAACAACACUGGAACAAUAUAUUUAGACUCCAGGAGUAGGGAGCAAAGGGGACUCAAACCAGAGCCAAGCAAGUUAGACUCCAUUCGCUCUAAAUUUUAAUGGAGCAAAUUAGGAAAGGCCAGAGGUUAAUACUCUUCCCGUUACCCUUUCAAGGCCAUAUAAACCCUAUGCUUGAGCUAGCUAAUGUUCUACACUUCAGAGGCUUCUCCAUAACCAUCCUCCACACCAACUUCAACUCUCUCAACCCUUCAAACCAUCCUCACUUCACCUUCCACUCGAUCCCUGAUGGCCUAUCCGAAACUGAGACCUCCACAAAAAGUCCCAUGCUCCUUGUUUCUUGUCUAAACAGACGCUGUCAUGAUCCUUUCCGAAACUGUCUAGCUAACUUGUUAUCCGAUGACGGUUCAGAGGAGCCUAUUGCUUGCUUAAUCACUGACCCUCUCUUUAACUUCACUCAAUCUGUCGCUAAGAGUUUUAAGCUUCCAAGGAUGCUGCUAAGAACAGGAAGUGUCACAUCGACUAUUGUUUAUGCCGCAUUUCCACUUCUAUGGGAAAAGGGUUAC
rnacentral:lncRNA from 1 species